rnacentral:rRNA from 1 species
CGGAGGGUGCGAGCGUUAUCCGGAAUUACUGGGUUUAAAGGGUGCGUAGGCGGCCAUGUAAGUCAGGAGUGAAAGUUUGCGGCUCAACCGUAAAAUUGCUUUUGAUACUGCAUGGCUGGAAUCAGGAUGAGGUCAGCGGAAUGUGGCAUGUAGCGGUGAAAUGCAUAGAUAUGCCAUAGAACACCAAUUGCGAAGGCAGCUGGCUAGACCUGUAUUGACGCUGAGGCACGAAAGCGUGGGGAGCGAACAGGAUUAGAUACCCUGGUAGUCCACGCCCUAAACGAUGCUUACUCGACGUAUGAAGCUAGUCUUUGUGCGUCCAAGGGAAACCGUUAAGUAAGCCACCUGGGGAGUACGACCGCAAGGUUG